UGGUGGCAGUGUCUGCAUCAGGAGCCAAGAAUAGACAGGAUGAAAUGAGGAAAGCAGAUUCAAGGUCUAUAAAGAUCCAAACAGAAAAUAUGUACAUACUUGGGGGGAACAUGUUGAGGAGAUCAGCAAAAGGACCUUCAGGAGCUAUUAAGAAAUAGCCUCAAUCAUCAUAUGAGCAUGGGAGUCAAAAUUACUCAUCACCUAGUGGCCAUCCAGAGGUGAUGGCCACUUUGCUUCUUCUUUGCUUUGAUGUGAUGGAAUUUGGCAGAGCUUGUGCUUUGCUGAAAUAACCUUCAGGAAUUUAGGAUCAACUUCACACUGUGAUGACACAUUAGGCUAUUUCAAGAAGCAACUAGAGAUAAUUUGAAAAACCCAACUCAGCUGUCUUACAGGAAUAUGAGGGAUAAUUGGAGAAAUAGGAGAGGACUGCUUCUCAGACAGUAUCCCUAACUGGAAAUGCAAAUGUGAACAAGAGCUACUCCAAGGGGAAGAGAGAGCAAAUAGUAGUGGCUAAUAUAAAUCUAUUCAGAGCUGGGGACAAAGGCUCACUUAAGAAGCACUAGAAUUUCCUCCUGCUGCUUUUACCAUCACUCUCCGUUUGUUUUUGACAAGGUUCAUAGAACAGGAGAGAAGAAAAGGAGGUGGGAGAUAGAGCAGAGAAUUCAUUAAAGAAAAAAUAAACAAGCACCACCAUCAUCAAAACAACACACCCAGAACAACAAGCAAAAAAACCCAAAUCCAAAUAAAUAAUCCAGACAUCU